rnacentral:rRNA from 1 species
UACGAAGGGGGCUAGCGUUGCUCGGAAUCACUGGGCGUAAAGCGCACGUAGGCGGAUUGCUAAGUCAGGGGUGAAAUCCUGGAGCUCAACUCCAGAACUGCCUUUGAUACUGGCGAUCUUGAGUCCGGGAGAGGUGAGUGGAACUGCGAGUGUAGAGGUGAAAUUCGUAGAUAUUCGCAAGAACACCAGUGGCGAAGGCGGCUCACUGGCCCGAUACUGACGCUGAGGCGCGAAAGCGUGGGAGCAAACAGG